UCUUCUAUGAUGAAUAAACUUUUGACUUUCGUUCUUCUGAGUUUGUCCUGAAGCCAGUUUAUUUGUUCUGAGAAAA
ensembl:snoRNA